UCAUCACUACGCUAGAUGCAUAUCAAUAAGCGGAGGAAAAGAAACUAACAAGGAUUCCCUUAGUAACGGCGAGUGAAGCGGGAAGAGCUCAAAUUUGAAAUCUUCAAGGUUUUACCUUGACGAAUUGUAGUUUAAAGAAGUGUUUUCUGUUGAAGUUUUGGUAAAAGUUCUUUGGAAUAGGACAUCAUAGAGGGUGAGAAUCCCGUAUUUGACCAUUAUUUUCAGCUGUGUGAUAGCACUUUCAAAGAGUCGGAUUGUUUGGGAAUGCAGUCCAAAAUGGGUGGUAAAUUUCAUCUAAAGCUAAAUAUUGGCGAGAGACCGAUAGCGAACGAGUACCGUGAGGGAAAGAUGAAAAGAACUUUGAAAAGAGAGUUAAACAGUACGUGAAAUUGUCAAAAGGGAAGCGUUUGACACCAGUGUUGUUUUCUCGAAAAUCAAUUAAAAAAAGUUGGAUUUUGUGUUGUAUUGACCUUAACAGCUUUCUGCACUCUUUUCCUGCUUUUUUUAAUGCACUUUUCGUUUAACAAGUCAACAUCAGUUUCUUUUGUUGUAAAAGGGUCAUUGGAAGGUGGCUUUCUUUUCGGAGAAAGUGUUUAUAGCCUUUGAUCUCUGCAAUCGGAGAGACUGAGGUCUGCAGCGUAGAUCCUUCGGGGUUAGAUACAUUUGUGCUGAGUUAUAACUUUUCAUAGACAACUUGUUGACUAUGUUUCAGUCAUAUAGCUUACUCGCUUAUGCUAUUUUACCUACGCUUAGGAUGUUAACGCAUGAGAUAUACGC
rnacentral:rRNA from 1 species